CUUGACGUCCAGCGAACUUUCCAGAGAUGGAUUGGUGCCUUCGGGAACGCUGAGACAGGUGCUGCAUGGCUGUCGUCAGCUCGUGUUGUGAAAUGUUGGGUUAAGUCCCGNAACGAGCGCAACCCUUAUCCUUUGUUGCCAGCGAUUCGGUCGGGAACUCAAAGGAGACUGCCGGUGAUAAACCGGAGGAAGGUGGGGAUGACGUCAAGUCAUCAUGGCCCUUACGAGUAGGGCUACACACGUGCUACAAUGGCGCAUACAAAGAGAAGCGACCUCGCGAGAGCAAGCGGACCUCAUAAAGUGCGUCGUAGUCCGGAUCGGAGUCUGCAACUCGACUCCGUGAAGUCGGAAUCGCUAGUAAUCGUGGAUCAGAAUGCCACGGUGAAUACGUUCCCGGGCCUUGUACACACCGCCCGUCACACCAUGGGAGUGGGUUGCAAAAGAAGUAGGUAGCUUAACCUUCGGGAGGGCGCUUACCACUUUGUGAUUCAUGACUGGGGUGAAGUCGUAACAAGGUAAGCGUAGCGAG
rnacentral:rRNA from 1 species